CCACUGGAGUACGACAAAAUUAAUAACUUUGUUUUCUGUCAAUUCCUAGAAUUCGUCCCAUGUACGAUUCAUCCAUUUUUUCCAUGUCCAAAUCAAACACCUGAUCCCUACUGUUCCAAAGAAGUAAAUGUGCUAUACUGUUAUUAGUGUAAAUCAAUUACGAUACCUACUAAAUUAAAAUUUCGUUGUUAUUAUAUGUUUUUUCGAAGAUAUGUUCUAUCGUCGUUAUCAUGAUCCAAUGAGAAAUGAUAUUUACCAAACUCGUGUCACACAUGCGACCGAAAUAUAUUUACAUUAUGUCACCGGUAUAAUAUUUCGUCAGAGUUAGUACCUAUACGAUUUUGCCU